rnacentral:rRNA from 1 species
CGCGUAGGCGGUCUGUUGCGUCAGGUGUGAAAGCCCUGGGCUCAACCCGGGAGGUGCACUUGAUACGGGCAGACUUGAAUCCGAGAGAGGAUGGUGGAAUUCCCAGUGUAGAGGUGAAAUUCGUAGAUAUUGGGAAGAACACCGAUGGCGAAGGCAGCCAUCUGGCUCGGUAUUGACGCUGAGGCGCGAAAGCGUGGGGAGCAAACA